rnacentral:rRNA from 1 species
AGAGUUUGAUCAUGGCUCAGGACGAACGCUGGCGGCAUGCCUAACACAUGCAAGUGGAGCGACGAACCAGGGCUUGCCCUGGGGCGAAGCCGCGAACGGGUGAGUAACACGUGGGUAACCUGCCCCGAUGACUGGGACAACCCGAGGAAACUCGGGCUAAUACCGGAUGUUUUCCACGCUCAUGAGUGCGUGGAAGAAAGGAAGCUUCGGCCUCCGCAUUGGGAUGGGCCCGCGGCCCAUUAGCUUGUUGGUGAGGUAACGGCUCACCAAGGCUGCGAUGGGUAGCUGGUCUGAGAGGACGAUCAGCCACACUGGGACUGAGACACGGCCCAGACUCCUACGGGAGGCAGCAGUGGGGAAUCUUGCGCAAUGCGCGAAAGCGUGACGCAGCAAUGCCGCGUGGGGGAAGAAGGCCUUCGGGUUGUAAACCUCUUUCAGGAGGGACGAAGCUGUGGCGGCGAAUAGCCGACUGCAGUGACGGUACCUCCAGAAGAAGCCCCGGCUAACUACGUGCCAGCAGCCGCGGUA